AACACAUGCAAGUCGAGGGGCAGCAGAUCGAAAGCUUGCUUUGAUGCUGGCGACCGGCGCACGGGUGAGUAACGCGUAUCCAACCUUCCCUGUAGUAGAGAAUAGCCCGGCGAAAGUCGGAUUAAUGCUCUAUGUUGUAUUUAGAGGACAUCUGAAGAAUACCAAAGGUUUACCGCUAUAGGAUGGGGAUGCGUCUGAUUAGGUUGUUGGCGGGGUAACGGCCCACCAAGCCCACGAUCAGUAGGGUUCUGAGAGGAAGGUCCCCCACAUUGGAACUGAGACACGGUCCAAACUCCUACGGGAGGCAGCAGUGAGGAAUAUUGGUCAAUGGACGAAAGUCUGAACCAGCCAAGUAGCCGUGCAGGAUGACGGCCCUAUGGGUUGUAAACUGCUUUUAUACAGGGAUAAAGUGAGGGACGUGUCCCUUUUUGUAGGUACUGUAUGAAUAAGGACCGGCUAAUUCCGUGCCAGCCGCUGC
rnacentral:rRNA from 1 species